AACGGCCGUACCGUGCUGAAUAUACCGGUUCUCGUUAGAUCACCGAAGUUAAGCAUCAUUGGGCGCGGUCAGUACUUUUGAAAACAUGUGGAUACAUAUUUCAGUGACCACCUGGGAACACCAC